UACGUAGGGCGCAAGCGUUGUCCGGAAUUAUUGGGCGUAAAGAGCUCGUAGGCGGUCUGUUGCGUCCGCUGUGAAAACUCGGGGCUUAACCCCGAGCCUGCAGUGGAUACGGGCAGACUAGAGGUAGGUAGAGGAGAAUGGAAUUCCCGGUGUAGCGGUGAAAUGCGCAGAUAUCGGGAGGAACACCGAUGGCGAAGGCAGGUCUCUGGGCCACUACUGACGCUGAGAAGCGAAAGCGUGGGGAGCAAACAGG
rnacentral:rRNA from 1 species